GUCUUUUUGAGUUAUUUUUAAAGUCUAGCCUGCCCACUGAGUUUUAAAUGGCCGCAGUAUUCUAACUGUGCAAAGGUAGCAUAAUCAUUAGUCUUUUAAUUGAAGGCUGGUAUGAAUGGUUGGACGAGAUAUAAGCUGUUUCAUAUAUAUUUAUGUUAGAAUUUUAUUUUUUAGUUAAAAAGCUAAAAUUAAAUUAAAAGACGAGAAGACCCUAUAAAUCUUUAUAUUUUUUGUAGUUUAAAUUCAUUGAUUUUUUUUUAUUUUUGUGCAUGGAAGUAUUUUGUUGGGGUGAUAUUAAAAUUUAAUAAACUUUUAAUUGUAUUUUAUCAUUAAUUUAUGAAUUGUUGAUCCAUUAAUAGUGAUUAUGAGAUUAAGUUACUUUAGGGAUAACAGCGUAAUUUUUUUAGAGAGUUCUUAUCGAUAAAAAAGUUUGCGACCUCGAUGUUGGAUUAAGAGAUAGAAUUAGGUGUAGCUGCUUAAUUACUAAGUCUGUUCGACUUUUAAAUUCUU
rnacentral:rRNA from 1 species